ensembl:lncRNA
AAAUAAUUAUCUGAAAGUUAAUGUUGGAACAAAAUGGAAUGUUGAAAAAAAUUUGACUGUUUCAGCUCACUGUUCUCCUUUCUUGAGCUUCUGUUCAGUUCAAAGUAACAAAAGUACAAUUAUUUCAGAGCUACCCAAGUACUUGAUGGGGUCAGGGACCUCAGAGAAGAAUCUUCUGUCAGCAUCUGCUAACAAGGAGGGAAAGCGAGCAGAGGCAUCAAACAACAGUUAUGCCCCAACAAUGCCCAACUCGCAGUACCUCAGGAUACUUUUAUUAGAGAACAAAUAAAUGAUGAAGCUGAAGUGACUGUGGGACUGCAACAUCUCUGGAAAUUUACAGAAAUUAAAGCUUUCACAAAUAUUCUCACAGGCAAAUGCUACCCUGGCAGCAGGCCGCAAUGAUAAGGUGAAAGAGUUUGAGACAAGAAAAAAUCAUGGUCAGUGCUUUCCUUUUUUUGAAGUAAAGAGUAUGUUUGUAUUCUCUGUAAGAGUGAAGCACUAGAGUAACCUCUUGGGCCUAAAUGAGCUCACGUGUUGAGGAUUUUCAACAGCUGGGGAAGUGCUGUGGUAAUGACAGCCAUGGGUAGGGAGGCAGCAAGAGCUGUGGUGGAGCUGAAGAGCAGCCAUACAAAUAACAAAAGCUGCCUUGUGCUUCUUAGAUUUGCUAAGGAGGUUAGCCUACAUUUGGACUGCUUUCCUGGACUUGUGAGAAGAGAACAUGAAGACAGUGAAGUGAGAAGAGAGGAGGCCCUAACCUACCUACCGAACAGAAAUUUGACUUGCACCUAUCCUAUAAACAGAAAGCUCCAUGGAACACACAAUGUGUGCAUAGGAGAUUGAUCUACUCCAUAUUGAGAUUAUCAGUUAAGUUUCACACAGCACCAGUAGACUUUUUUUUUUCUUUUUUCUGAAGUCAGUAUAUAAUGGGUGGUUGGGUAAACAAACAUUUAUUUGAACCAGUCUCUGUCUCACUCUACAAUACUAACCUGUUCCUCUUAUGUGCCCCAUUUUUCCCUUACCAUCCAAAUAAGAUCAGUGGACAUUAAGUGGAGAAAGAUGUUACAUUACUGAAAAAAUACAUAUCCAUAGUCCUUAUGACUGGAGGCCAGUAACAGCGGAGUCUCACAGGAUCUAUGGUACCUUUCCUGUUUAAUAUCUAUACCAAUGACCUGCAGGAGGUAAUGUGCACUCUCAUCAAGCCUGCAGAUCACACCAAACUGGAGAGACCAGUCAGUGCACUCAAGUGCAGGGCUGUCUUCCAGCUGCAGGACCUAGACAGGCUGGAGGAAUGGCCUGAAGGGAACUGUAUGAAAGUCUGCCUGGACAGAUGCGAAAAUGCUGCCCUGGGAAGAAAGAAGCCCACACGGUGAUACAAGCUGAGGACUGACUGCGUCGGGAGCAGUCCUGCUGAAAGGGACCUGGUGGACUUGAUGGUCCAUCCAAGUGUCCUGGCAGCUGCUGUGGCAGCAGUUAAGACCAACAGCACUAUAAGCUCUGAGAAGGUGAGCACAGCCGGAAGAUUGUAAGAAAUGUUUAUCGCCCUUCAUUUGGCGCCCAUGAGAGGACAUCACAAGAACUGCAUACGGCUUUGCCACCUGUCCACCCAAGAGAGACAUUGCCAAAAUAAAGUGAGCCUAGCAGAGGGCCA